AGCGAACGCUGGCGGCAGGCCUAACACAUGCAAGUCGAACGAACCUUUCGUGGUUAGUUGCUGACGGGUGAGUCGCACGUGGGAACGUUCCGGUAUGCUCGGGAUAACUCAUUUUAGCGUGUGCUAAUGCCGAGUGUGUCCUGCUGGGGCAAGAUUAAUCGUCUCUAGGACGGCCCGCGUCUGUCUAGCUAGUUGGGUUAGGUAAUGGCUCACCAAGGCUACGAUCAGUACAUGGUCUGAGAGGAUGAGCAGCCACAUUGGCACUGAGACACGGCCCAAACUCCUACGCGAGGCAGCCGUGGCUAAUCCUGCGCAAUCGGCGAAAGCAUGACGCAGUCCGGCCGGGUGAAUGAUGAAGGUCGUAGGAAAGUAAAAUUCUUUAAUAGCCGACGAUACUGACGGUACCCGGAGAAGAAGCCCCGGCUAACUUCGUG
rnacentral:rRNA from 1 species